CUGGUUUGGAAACUUGUGCUGUUGUGU
rnacentral:piRNA from 1 species